UACGUAGGGAGCAAGCGUUGUUCGGAUUUACUGGGCGUAAAGGGGCGCGUAGGCGGCUGGCCAAGUCCGAUGUGAAAGCUCCCGGCUUAACUGGGGAAACUGCAUCGGAAACUGGUCGGCUUGAAGGUGGGAGAGGGUAGCGGAAUUCCCGGUGUAGUGGUGAAAUGCGUAGAUAUCGGGAGGAACACCAGUGGCGAAGGCGGCUACCUGGCCCAUUCUUGGACGCUGAGGCGCGAAAGCUAGGGGGAGCGA
rnacentral:rRNA from 1 species